ACGAAGGGGGCUAGCGUUGCUCGGAAUCACUGGGCGUAAAGCGCACGUAGGCGGACUCUUAAGUCGGGGGUGAAAUCCUGAGGCUCAACCUCAGAACUGCCCUCGAUACUGGGAGUCUCGAGUCCGGGAGAGGUGAGUGGAACUCCGAGUGUAGUGGUGAAAUGCGUAGAGAUGCGGAGGAACACCAGUGGCGAAGGCGACACGCUGGACCUGACCUGACGCUCAGACGCGAAAGCGUGGGGAGCGAACGG
rnacentral:rRNA from 1 species